GCCUGUUUUACUCAGUGGUUAGAGUGUUGGCCUGCAGACCAAAGGGUUGUGGGUUCGAUUCCCAGUCAAGGGCA
rfam:Myotis lucifugus cont2.10868, whole genome shotgun sequence.